rnacentral:rRNA from 1 species
ACGGGGCGCAGCAGGCGCGAAACCUCCGCAAUGCACGCAAGUGCGACGGGGGGACCCCAAGUGCCACUCUUAACGGGGUGGCUUUUCAGGAGUGUAAAAAGCUCCUGGAAUAAGGGCUGGGCAAGACCGGUGCCAGCCGCCGCGGUAACACCGGCAGCUCGGGUGGUAGCCGCGUUUAUUGGGCCUAAAGCGUCCGUAGCCGGUCCGAUAAGUCUCUGGUGAAAGCCCACAGCUCAACUGUGGGAAUCGCUGGAGAUACUAUCGGACUUGAGGCCGGGAGAGGCUGGAGGUACUCCCAGGGUAGGGGUGAAAUCCUAUAAUCCUGGGAGGACCACCUGUGGCGAAGGCGUCCAGCUGGAACGGACCUGACGGUGAGGGACGAAAGCCAGGGGCGCGAACCGGAUUAGAUACCCGGGUAGUCCUGGCCGUAAACGGUGCGGACUUGGUGUUGGGACGGCUUUGAGCUGUCCCAGUGCCGAAGGGAAGCUGUUAAGUCCGCCGCCUGGGAAGUACGGCCGCAAGGCUGAAACUUAAAGGAAUUGGCGGGGGAG